rnacentral:rRNA from 1 species
GACGAACGCUGGCGGUGUGCCUCACACAUGCAAGUCGAGCGGACGAAGAUUGAAGCUUGCUUCAGUCCUAGUUAGCGGCGGACGGGUGAGUAACACGUAGGAAUCUGCCUUCAGGCGGGGGACAACGGAACGAAAGUUGCGCUAAUACCCCAUAUGCGAGUAAUCGUAAAAGGAGCAAUCCACCGGAAGAUGAGCCUGCGUCCGAUUAGCUAGUUGGUAGGGUAAAAGCCUACCAAGGCUACGAUCGGUAGUUGGUCUGAGAGGAUGAUCAGCCACAAUGGAACUGAGACACGGUCCAUACUCCUACGGGAGGCAGCAGUGGGGAAUUUUACGCAAUGGGCGAAAGCCUGACGUAGCGACACCGCGUGAGCGAAGAAGCCUUUUGGGGUGUAAAGCUCUGUCAGCUGGAACGAACACAAUGACGGUACCAGCAGAGGAAGCAUCGGCUAACUACGUG